CCUACGGGUGGCAGCAGUGGGGCAUAUUGCGCAAUGGGCGAAAGACUGACGCAGCGACGCCGCGUGCGGGAUGAAGGUCUUCGGAUCGUUAACCUCUGUCAGCAGGGCAGAACGGUCACUGUGCUAAUCAGCAGUGAAUUGACGGUACCUGCAAAGGUAGCAUCGGCUAACUCCGUGCAAGAAGCCGCGGUAAUAAGGAGGGUGCGAGCGUUGAUCGGUAUGACUGGGCGUAAAGCGCGCGUUGGGGGUAUGUCAAGUGAAGGGUGAAAUCCCCGCGCUCAACGUGGGAACUGCCUUUGAAACUGGCAAACGGGAGUGUGUGAGAGGAUAGUGGAAUGCCAGGUGUAGGAGUGAAAUCCGUAGAUAUCUGGAGGAACAUCAGUUGCGAAGGCGACUAUCUGGCACAUAACUGACGCUGAGGAGCGAAAGCGUGGGUAGCAAACAGGAUUAGAUACCCUAGUAGUC
rnacentral:rRNA from 1 species